rnacentral:rRNA from 1 species
UACGGAGGGGGCUAGCGUUGUUCGGAAUUACUGGGCGUAAAGCGCACGUAGGCGGCUUUGUAAGUUAGAGGUGAAAUCCCAGGGCUCAACCCUGGAACUGCCUUUAAUACUGGCAAUCUCGAGUCCGAGAGAGGUGAGUGGAAUUCCGAGUGUAGAGGUGAAAUUCGUAGAUAUUCGGAGGAACACCAGUGGCGAAGGUGGCUCACUGGCUCGGUACUGACGCUGAGGUGCGAAAGCGUGGGGAGCAAACAGG